GCUGCUGCCGCCGCCGCCGCCGCCGCCGCCUUUGCUGCUGCCUUUGCUGCUGCCUUUGCUUUGAAUAUAAGUGUCCUCAAUAACCUCCGAGCUGGCUCUGAAAUUUACAAGAGGAAAGCUAAAAUCGCAUUAAGGGGGAGUGGGGGUGUCCAGGCAAGGGGAGAAAGGAUCUGCGGAGAGCAAGGCCCUCACAAAACCGCCACACAGAGCAGGGAACACAGGGAAAGAACACAGUUUGUUUUAUUUUUUCUAAUUCACUGGACACUAAUGGUCGUGAUUCUUCAUAGUCUCCAUAUUCCCUGAUUCUUCUUCACUGGUACCCUACUCCUUCUCCUAGUGCCCGCCUCUCUCCACUCCCCCCUUCCCAUCUCUCUCUCUCUCUCUCUCUCCCUCUCUGUCUCCCUCCCUCCCUCCUCCCCUCUCUUUCCCUCCCCCAACCAGCGAGAGCACCGUCGAGAAGAAAGGCUGAAAAUAACCUACUCACCCAAGCUUGUACUGGGGAGGAGGGGCAAAUGGAUGGGUAGUUUAUAAAGUUUAUUAUUAAUUUUUAAAGUAAAUAAAUGGUUGUUCACCGCCACUAA